rnacentral:misc_RNA from 1 species
GCAUUCCAGAAACGAGGAGUGGUCACUGAUAAUGCCAAGAAAGUGAUGGACUCUCUCAGGUCAGAAAAGGAGAAGUUGAAAGCCAUGGUGGAAGAAGCCAGAAAUAACAAGUCCACAAAGAGCAACAAAAUUCUGAACCAAGCACAGGAGGCCUACAACACAGUCAGCAGUAAACUUAAUGCCAUAGAGUCUGCAAUUGCUAAAAGUGAGUCUGAGAACCGGGGACUAGUCAAGUUUAAUGAUCUAGUCGAGGAAGGUAAAAAGAAGUUUCAGAAAGAACUGGAGAGUUUGAUGCCAGAUGUUAAGCCAGGAAAAGGCAAAAAACUGAGUGAGGAAGAGUUGAAUUCUCUGAUUGCACAUGCUCACCGGCGUAUUGAGCAGCUCCAGCAUCAGCUGGCCAAUCACCUGGCAUUGGAGAAAGAGCGGAUACAGGAGGCCCUGGAUAUGCAGCGAAAGGCCGACGAAAGUGUGUGCGACAGGAGGAUUGAAGACGAGGCACAGAAAAUUAAAAACAACGUGGACCUGGAAAAACAAAAAUGGGGUGAGGAGGCGCGUGUCCAGUUUGAGGUGGAGCUGAGACAGCAGUUGGCCCGCCAGGCUGCCGCCCACAGUGACCACCUCCAGGAGGUGCUGAAGGUCCAGGAACAGGAACUCCUACAGAAGUACGAACGACAGUUCAACCUCAAGUUCAUCGAAGAAAGACAGGCGUUCCAGGCCGAAAUUGCGGGAUGGGUAGCUCGCCUCAAGGGCAUUGAAACUGCUGUUGAAAAUCGAGCCGCUGCAGAGAAGAUAGCUCGCGAGGCCCAGGACUUGUGGUUAGCCUGCCUGGCUUUAAAUGGCACCAUCCGCCGCGGUAAGGAGGAGGAAUUAGCCUGGGAAGAACGCCUCAAACCUCUCGGUAACGAGAUAGUGGCGGUGUAUGAUGCCGCAGGUAACCAUCCAUUUGUCAACAUGAUUGUCAGCACUAUCCCAGAGAAGGCAUACGUUCGUGGAGUGUGGACAGAAGACACUCUACGGGAACGAUUCGAAAAGGUUUCCAGUGUCUGUAAAAAAGUGGCUGCCAUUGAUGAAUGUGGUGGUACUCUGUAUAAAUACUUCAUCUCCUAUCUACAGUCGGUAUUUAUAAGCCUCAGGAGUUAUGACGUAAAGAAUUUAAAUGACCAAGUGGAUGUUGAGAGUAUGGACAAUUUCGAAAUCUUGGCCAACGCUAGCUACUGGAUGGACCGCGGCGAUUUCGAGGCAGCUGUCAGGUACAUGAACCAGCUGCAGGGAGAGGCCAGAAAAGUGGCUGGUGAUUGGCUGAAAGAGGCCAAGCUUCUAUUAGAGACUAGACAAGCGGCCUUCGCUCUGACAGCGUUCGCUUCAGCCAGCGGAUUGGGAACAGUGUUCUAAUGGGUGAUGUGUAAAUCUUGAGUGCUUAAUCAGACGUGACAGAAAUAUGGUGUUGAUUUAUGAAAGGAAUUAAAGAUCAUUAACCUU